AGAGUUUGAUCAUGGCUCAGAUUGAACGCUGGCGGUAUGCUUAACACAUGCAAGUCGAACGGUAACAGGAUUAGCUUGCUAAUCGCUGACGAGUGGCGGACGGGUGAGUAACGCGUAGGGAUCUGCCUGACAAUGGGGGAUAGCCCGGUGAAAACCGGAUUAAUACCGCAUACGUCCUAAGGGAGAAAGGGUGCCACUUCUUGAAAGCACUCGUUGUCAGAUGAACCUGCGUUGGAUUAGCUAGUUGGUAGGGUAAUGGCCUACCAAGGCGACGAUCCAUAGCUGGUCUGAGAGGAUGAUCAGCCACACUGGGACUGAGACACGGCCCAGACUCCUACGGGAGGCAGCAGUGGGGAAUAUUGCGCAAUGGGCGAAAGCCUGACGCAGCAAUACCGCGUGUGUGAAGAAGGCCUGCGGGUUGUAAAGCACUUUCAGUAGGGAGGAAAGGUUGCGUGUUAAUAGCACGUAGCUGUGAAGUACCUACAGAAGAGCUUG
rnacentral:rRNA from 1 species